GGCUCAGGACGAACGCUGGCGGCGCGCCUAAUACAUGCAAGUCGAGCGAGAAGGUGUAGCAAUACACUUGUAAAGCGGCGAACGGGUGAGGAAUACAUGGGUAAUCUACCAUCGAGUGGGGAAUAACCAACCGAAAGGUUGGCUAAUACCGCGUACGCCUCCGAGUCUUCGGGUUCGGAGGGAAAGCUGCACUGUGAGUGUAGCGCUCUUUGAUGAGCUCAUGUCCUAUCAGCUUGUUGGUAGGGUAACGGCCUACCAAGGCUUUGACGGGUAGCUGGUCUGAGAGGACGAUCAGCCACACUGGCACUGCGACACGGGCCAGACUCCUACGGGAGGCAGCAGUAAGGAAUAUUGCGCAAUGGACGAAAGUCUGACGCAGCGACGCCGCGUGGGGGAUGAAGGUCUUCGGAUUGUAAACCCCUUUCGGCAGGGAAGAUGGGACGGGUAACCGUUCGGACGGUACCUGCAGAAGCAGCCACGGCUAACUUCGUGCCAGCAGCCGCGGUAAUACGAAGGUGGCAAGCGUUGUUCGGAUUCACUGGGCGUACAGGGAGCGUAGGCGGUUGGGUAAGCCCUCCGUGAAAUCUCCGGGCCUAACCCGGAAAGUGCAGAGGGGACUACUCAGCUAGAGGAUGGGAGAGGAGCGCGGAAUUCCCGGUGUAGCGGUGAAAUGCGUAGAGA
rnacentral:rRNA from 1 species